UUCAGUUAUUAUUCAACUAGUUCCAUACUCCAUUCCAGUCGGUGGCGGUAAUGCACCUUUAAGUCCGCCAGUAAAACCCAAAGAAGAAGAAGCUCAGGGUCAGUUUAACUGGCAAGCGAGUGUGCUGUGGCAGAGCGGCUGAUGACCAACAGACUCAUGUCGGAGUUUAAUAUGAAGGGCCAUGGGUCAAAAAAGGGUUUCCAGUCCACAGCCCUGUACGCCACCAUAAUAACUGCAAAUGUGGGACAAAACAGCCACAGACCACAUAAUUUACAGGGCCGUGGGAGACCACCUCAAACAUGCACCUGGACGGUCUGGUGAUGACAGACGCAUAGCUGAAAAAAACUAAGCUGAUGCUUUUUUUUUUUUUUUGUUGAUGUUUAUUUGACCAAUAAAUAUUUUGUUGUUAAUUGUGUCUGUUGUCCUAUUUUAAGAGCAAAUAGGCUAAUAAAAUAGUAGUCUUGUGUGGUUUCUUUCUUUUCAAACACUCACAUACAAGUGUCACAAAGUGCUCUGUCUCUCUUUUCAUAUUGGGCCAAUAAAAUCGUUCACUGAUUAAAUUGAGAGUCCUCUCCGUUCCGAGAUGUCCCAUCUCCUGAUGCAACUCCUUGUAAACUGUCUGAUGGUACUCCUUGGGUAGAAUUAACUGGUUUGUAUUUCCUGCUUUCCUAUACAAGACUCCAUCAUCACUCAUGCGCAGACGUGUCCACUGUUUCAGCAGGAGUCUGACAUCAUACAAUUCUUUUCUUAGUCUAUGACCAAAAGGACGAACGUUACUCUUUUUGUACUCCAGGACACGGCUAAUGACAGGAUCUUCCUGUUGGGACUGCCUGAUCUGUUCCUGAGAGAGACACAGAUUAGUGGGAUUUCAUCUUCUACCAGAUGGACAGCUUGUAAGUCAAUUCCACUUGUCCACAGAGAAGUAUCCUCAAACAUCAACAUAACUCCCUGCAUGGUAGCACUUAUCACAUUUGGUUUGUUUCCUCUGUGCACAGUUUCAUGUACCUGGAAAUGUCCAGUGGCAUUAUUGACAAUCCAUCUGCAUCUGUAUUACAUCUCCCUGGCCGAUAUUUGAUGGUAAAAUUGAAAUCGGUCAGCUCUGCAACCCAGUGGUGUCCCGUUGCAUUAAGUUUGGCUGUUGUCAAAAUGUAUGUGAGUGGAUUAUUGUCUGUGUACACUUCAAAGUGUGGAGCAUGAAACAUAAUCUCUGAAGCGUUCACAGAUAGCCCACUUAAGAGCCAGAAACUCAAAUUUUCCAAAAUGCAUGUAAUAGUUUUUCUCAGGUGGUUUGAGUGUUCUUGACCCAUAUGCAAUCACUGACAUCUUCCCUUUCUGCUUCUGAUAAAGGACUGCUCCCUUGCACACACUUGUGCGGACUGAGUUUAACUCCAUGGUUUUGAUAUCUCUGGAGGAGUGUGCGAAUAUGACUCAAGUGAUCAUCAAAGGAGGCACUGUGAACCAGAUUAUCAUCCAAGUACAGCUGACAUAUCACAUCACGCAAAUCCUCCAGACAACCCUCCAUGUUUCUGUGGAAUUCGGCUGGAGCUGAGCUAAGGCCAAGCGGGAUCCUCUUCCACUCAAAUAAUCCCCAGGGUGUUAUAAAGGCUGUUAGUGGUUGACUUUCAGCAUCAAGAAAUCCUUGGUGGUAUUCUUCAUGGUUCAGAAGAUCUACUGUCACUGGGUAAAAUGUCUUUAUUAGUUCCAGUUGGCCUAGUCUGAGUUGGGGCAUGUGUGACUGGGUAUUUUGCUGUAUUAGCAAUGGCAAUUGGUACUCUUACAGUCUUCCCAUCUCCAACUCUGAUAACACCUUCCUGUAUUUCCAGGCCCUCUGAUAACAUUGAUGGUUUACAUGGAACAAACAGCAGACUUUGUUCUUGGGAUUGUCCCCCAAUGUGCGCUUGUGCAUAAAUUGUGGUAAUUUGUCCUGCACUGAGUUUAAUCUUUUGUUUCCCCACACGCACAGUUCCAACAGUCACAUUCAAAUUUACAGUCUUCAGCAGAUUAAGCAGUUAAGCAUCGCCUUUCUUGUCGAUAUAGAGAAUCCUUUGCUCACCCUCUGAACCAUGCUGAAUAGUGAACCCUGUUUUUCCCACCUGCCAAUUAUCUCCUCAAUGACAUUGUAACCGAUGAUGGGAUUUUCAGCUACUCCAGCAUUACUCACCACCAGCAUAGGCACUUGUAAGGUUUCUUCGGGGCCUGCAAUAUUACUCAGUCAGAGGCUAACUUCUACCCAGCCAUCAAAGGGGAUUUCUGUGUGAUUUGCAGCCAAUCCAGUGAGUGUUGCUGGUCCCAGGAGCUCUUUAAUUGGUCUGACAAUGGUGUGUGAUAAGUAUUGUUUUCUCCAGUCAGCGUUGAUAAUACUAGCUUGGGCUCCUGUGUCUCAUAAGGCUUCAACUGUGAUGUUAUUUAGCUGACAACAGAACAGACACCUUUUUCCAACAAUGUUUAGCAGCAUGGAUGUGCACAGUGAAUUCCUAAUCAAAUUGGCUGCAUCUUGGUGAGUAACAAUGUCAUUAUACUUACUGGUUUGCCCACUCUGUUCAAUUCUAGGUGUCUACCACACAUCUGAGAUAGCUGAUAUUGACGAUAUGGACUACUGGGAGGUCCAGUUCAGCAGUCCCCUCCUGUUUCCCGACAUUAAUCUGCGUUGAUGACAGCCCCGUGACAGAUGUCCAUCUUGGCCACAGAAAUAACUGCCUGCAUUCCUCACCCUUCUGAGCCUCUUGACGUGAAAAACAGCCUUUGAACCUCUUUUCCAUCUGUAUCAGGGUGACAGGAGGCUGAAACUGGGGUCUGGUUGCUUCCAUUGUCUCUUUGAAUACUUUAGUCAUUUCCAUGAUGUCUGCUCCGAGCUGUUCAAUUGAUUUGGUGGUGUUACUGUUAAUAUCUUUGCUCUGUCCUUGUUUCUUCUUAUCUUUACUAGGGAAAUUCUCUUUGGUCACUGUAUCUCUCCUUUCACUUUCAGAGUCUACUUCACUGCUUACAUGUCGCUCAGUGUCGCAAACAUACUCUACUACUUCACUCAGUUUAAAAGGCUUUGGUGUCACUACUUUUUUUUAACUUUGCUUGUCUCUCCAAUUCAAGAUUAGCAGCUUCCCCGAUUUUCUCAAUUAGCACUUCAUCCAUUACUUUGGGAUCACUGAGGUAUGGUUUAACUUGAAACUUAACUGCAUCACUUAAGAGCCCAGUUUCCACAGAGCGAAGACAUUUUUGUUGAAUGAGCUCAGGGCUAAACUGUUUGCCAUCCUGCUCAUCUCCAGAUGCCCAGAGCAGUUCAAUGGCUCGAAACAGGAAACUUUGAGCAGACACUUUGGGAUCCUGUGAGAUGAUAUCCCUAUAUAUGUAUCCCUGUUCAUGAGCCUGUGCAGCAGAUCGGAUAAUGAGUCUAUUUUAUAGUGCCCCCUGAGGAUGGUCCUUAAUGUGGAAAGUGUGAGGUCUCGUUUUAUCUCAAGACAUUCUCGGAGAGGAAGGCUUGGACUCACAGCUCUGAUGACAGCUUCAAUAAUUUCAGCCUCUGCAUACCCCUUUCUCACUCCUGAUUUGAUUUGGUUGUUGAGAAUUGUGUAGGAUAAUUUUUCCUUCUGUCCAGCCUCUCCAAUCUGUCCAAAGACUCGAAAUACCCUCCUCAGAGUAACUUCAGGAACUGGAUCAUGUUGUGUGGUUGGUACUUUAUCAUUUCUUUCAUUACUUUCCCCCUUAGAGUUUACUUCAAGUUGCUCCAUCUGUUCCUCUAACACACGACGAGCAUUUGCUUGUGCCUGUUGUAAUUCAGCAUACACUUGUCUUAGCUGUUCCCUCUUACGCCCUAUUCACACGAGGCUUCAGCGUCAACGCUUGA